rnacentral:rRNA from 1 species
CUAAGAAUAUUCCGCAAUGGACGAAAGUCUGACGGAGCGACGCCGCGUGGAUGAAGAAGGCCGAAAGGUUGUAAAGUUCUUUUGUCGAUGAAGAAUAAGUGUGGGAGGGAAUGCCCGCAUGAUGACGUUAGUCGGCGAAUAAGCCCCGGCUAAUUACGUGCCAGCAGCCGCGGUAACACGUAAGGGGCGAGCGUUGUUCGGAAUUAUUGGGCGUAAAGGGCGCGUAGGCGGUUUUGCAAGCCCGGCGUGAAAAUCUGGAGCUUAACUCCGGAACUGCGUUGGGAACUGCGAGACUAGAGUCAUAGAAGGGGAUUGGAAUUCCAGGUGUAGGGGUGAAAUCUGUAGAUAUCUGGAAGAACACCGGUGGCGAAGGCGAACUCCUGGCUAAUGACUGACGCUGAG